rnacentral:tRNA from 1 species
GGGUGUAUAGCUCAGUUGGUAGAGCACCAGGCUUUUAACCUGUGGGUCUUGGGUUCGAAUCCCAAUGCACUCA